AGCCAGACUCUAGCUCAAUCUACCAACCAAAUCAACCCAACAAUCCAUCUCCCAAAUAAACCAAAACAUUUUUCAAACUAAGUACAGGCGAUAGAAAAGUCAUCUAGACGCAAUAGAGAUAUGUACCGCAAGGGAAAACUGAAAUAGCAAUGAAAACCAAAGCACCAAACAGCAAAGACUAAACCUUGUACCUUUUGCAUCAUGAUUUAGCAAGAACUAGCCAAGCAAAAUGACCUUAAGCUUGCCCUCCCGAAACCCAUGCGAGCUACUUACAAGCAGCUAUCACUGAGCAAACCCGUCUCUGUUGCAAAAGAGUGGGACGACUUGUUAGUAGAGGUGAAAAGCCAACCGAGCUGGGUGAUAGCUGGUUGUCCACGAAACGAAUCUAAGUUCCCCCUUGAUCCACCUCCACGGCCAUUCCACCCAACCCCCUACGAAGUAAAUCAAGAGCAAUUUAAAGGAGGUACAGCUCCUUUAAAACAAAACACACUUUCCAAGAGCGGAUACGUUGCACCAUACACUAACUGUGGGCCUUUAAGCAGCCACCAACAAAGAAUGCGUCAAAGCUCAUAAUCCCAAAAUACCUAAACCAAACGACUCCCUCACCUCCAGUGGGCCAAUCUAUCCUCAUAGAAGAAUUUAUGCUAAAAUAAGUAACUAGGGCAACCCCUCUACGGCGCUAGCUUACAUCCUCACAUUAUUAACAGGCCCCCACAUAUACCCCAACCACUCACAAGACCAUGUAUAACCAAACUCCUGUUAACCCAACUAAAGGAGCGCCACCAAGAACGAUUAAAAUCUGCAAAAGGAACUAGGCAAACCCAAGGCCCGACUGUUUACCAAAAACAUAGCCUUCAGCAUAGCCAAGUACUGAAGGUGACGCCUGCCCCGUGACAUCAUGUUUAACGGCCGCGGUAUCCUAACCGUGCAAAGGUAGCGCAAUCAAUUGUCCCAUAAAUCGGGACCUGUAUGAAUGGCUAAACGAGGUCUUAACUGUCUCUUGCAGAUAAUCAGUGAAAUUGACCUUCCCGUGCAAAGGCGGAAAUAACCCCAUUAGACAAGAAGACCCUGUGGAACUUAAAAAUCAAUAGCCACUUUCCCAAGCACUCCCACACCCAUGCAGGCACACCUUACAACUCAAAGCUGGCCCAUAUUUUUCGGUUGGGGCGACCUUGGAGUAAAACCCACCCUCCAAAAAUGAGGCCUUAUAUCUCAACCAAGAACCACUAAUCAACGUGCUAACAGCAACCAGACCCAAUAAAAUUGAUUAAUGAACCAAGCUACCCCAGGGAUAACAGCGCAAUCUCCCCCAAGAGCCCCCAUCGACGAGGAGGUUUACGACCUCGAUGUUGGAUCAGGACAUCCUAGUGGUGUAGCCGCUACUAAGGGUUCGUUUGUUCAACGAUUAACAGUCCUACGUGAUCUGAGUUCAGACCGGAGCAAUCCAGGUCGGUUUCUAUCUAUGACAAACUUUUCCCAGUACGAAAGGACCGAAAAAGUAAGACCCCUACCACGAGCACGUCUUCGUUUCAAGUAAUGAAUUCAACUAAAUUACUAAAAACUUCAACACCCCUCAUCCCAUCCUAGAAAAGGAUCG
rnacentral:rRNA from 1 species